rnacentral:lncRNA from 1 species
AAAAAAGAGAGAGAGAGAGGAAAAGAAAAGCGCUCUCAGUGCGGCCUCGGAGCGCUGCCGCCGUCCGGGACGUGCGCUGAGCUCUGCGCUGCGGACGCCGUGUAUCUCCACGUAUUGAUUCGUGCACCCACAUCUGAGCCCUUCGGAAGAAUGUGACGUUGGAGGAACCUGGAGCUUUGCAAAGGCUUCGCUCAGAGACGUAACAAAUGUGACGGAAGGGGUGGAGACAGGAGGUGAGG